CCUGGUAGCCAUUACAGGCUUGGUCUGAGCACCUGUUAGAUUUCAUUAGCUAAGCACGGCUGGCCUGAUAAGUACUUGGAUGGGUGAUCCAAGGAAACGUGAGGUGCUUUCGGGG
ensembl:rRNA 5S_rRNA 5S ribosomal RNA